rnacentral:sRNA from 1 species
GUAUACUGAAAUAAUGAUUAAAAAAACAAAUUUUUUGGAUGAAAAAUCACUGCCAAACACCUCGUAUGCGUACCGAUGAAAUUUUCAGAAAAUAUUAAGAUAAUGAGGUGAUAAUACUGCAUUUAUUGAUUUAAUUAUAUUUUUUGUCCAAUAUUCAAUAAAAUUUUAACAGUUGACAAUUCGUCAAGAAAAAUGUAAAUAUUUCUGUAUAUGUAGCAUUUUUUAGUAAGCUCAUUAGUUCCUGCUUGAACCAUGUUAUGUAAAGUUCAUUUUUUUGUGAAAUUUCAUACAAUAAAAUAAUUUCACAUAAAUUUAAAAAAAAAAUUCCUACUUUUUAAUCAUGGUUCUUUGAAAAAUCAUUAUUAAAAAAUCUAUUUUCCCAAAAAAUAAGGCUCAAGCAUAGCCUUAAUAAAUUUAUAUUUUUUUUAAAUAUAAAAAAAUAAUAAAUUUGUAGAGACGAUAAGUUAUUUGGAUGGUGAGGGUUUCCAAUUGAAGGAGAAAUUGAAUUACUU